AAACCUCCACUAGAAGAGCUGGAACUGACACCACUUCUCUUAAAACUCUAGGUCUUACGAGGUCCCUGAGAUGAUUGACCUUUACCUUUAUCAUCUCACAUCUGGUUCCCAUUCUUUUCUUCUUCAUCUUCACUUUCACUAGGCAUGUUCUCUAAGUCCUCAAUCCGCAGUAAAACCUCAUAAAACUCCUGGUAAGUGGCAUAUGGAGUCGAUGUUGCUAUAGAAUGCCAUUUCUUCUUAGUACCCAAUCUAAAACAACAAAGCAUCUCAACUGGAUUAGCAGCAACCUCUGGAUCAUAUUGAGACAAAUCAGUGAACCUCCUGUAAUACUCAUUCGCUGUCAUCUUUCCUUGUUUCAGAUUUAUGAUCAAUAUACUCAGGGGGAAUAAGCCUUUUCUGAAAAAAAAUGUUUAAACACUUCCCAAUCAGCUGCUACCUCUGGUGGCAUUUGAUAAGACUCCUGUCCCUACCAGGAUACAGGCUCCAAACUCAGAAACUAGGUAGUCGUCUCGACCCAUCUAUCAGGAGGAAGAUUCCCUUGACUCUGCAUCACAAGGAAAGUCUUCUCAAAGUCUUCUCGACAUGAUGAAGCCAUUUUUCCACUUCUUUAUGUCCUUCAAUACCCAUGAAAUGAUUCAGCUUCAGGUUAUACACAGUCUCAAGAGGUGUCCUUUGAGGAGGACAGAGCAAAGACUGAAUGACAUUAGCUAUAGCUUCCUCUAAUUGAGCAAUAUCAGGGAAACUAGGCUCAACUGAGUGAUGUGGCUCUCUACGAGGUAGCAUAGUUCUGACAGAAGACAUCACAAUGAUUAGAUUAUUCACAAGAUAUACAGGACUGCUAAACCUAGGCUCUGAUACCAAACUGACACACCUCGACUGAGAUCGAGGCAUGCUGGCCGUCACGUGACGGUGACGUAGCCAUUUGCACAGUGCAGAAGAAUUAAUGAUAGCAGAGAAUACGAAUAAAUGAAAACUAACUAAUAAGAGUACUAGUUAAGAUAAGUGCUAGAAUAUGUGUGAAUACAUAAUCAGAGCAUAAGUAGCCUAAUUCAGUCUUGAAAACAAGUACUAGAUAAACGACACCUGGAGAUGUCCUCAAUUUGUGAUAGUAUGUCAGAACCUCCAAUCGAUCCUCAUGAACCACCAACGAACAAGCUUAUCUAAAACCUGGACGGGAACAAAACAGAAAGUGUGAGUGGGCAAAAACAAAGCUUUUCAAAACCAUUUCAUUAUCAAAUGCUCUAACCCCUCACCGUAAAACAUGUAUAAUUUUUCCAGAAUAGAAUAUAAAUAUAUACAUACAUACAUACAUAUAUAUAUAUAUAUAUAUAUAUAUAUAUAUAUUCAAAUCUUUCUUCACAUAUCCAUAUUCAUAAGUAUGCCAUGCCAAAAUAUAAAGCAGAAUAAGUAACUCAGGUGAAAAUAAAUUGAUGGAAAAAUAACAUAUUAGCCAGAACCCCUGCAGAAGUCUGUACAACUGAAUUCAUAGCUCAUUAGUCAAUCUAGCCGAAGUCACUGCAAGUGACCUAUGCGACACUACACUACACACGAGUCGGAACCACUGUAAAGGUCUGUACGACAAGACUAGGUGUAAUAUAGUUAUACUCCAUGUUACGCUCUCAUGAUAGUUGUGCGAUAAAUCGCUACUCACUUUUAAGUCGGAACCCCCUAUGAUGGUCUGUACGACAAGACUGUGCAACUAAAUUGGAUCCAAUGUGAGCAUAUGGUGUGGGAUGUGACAUUAUAUACCGACUUGUGCCAUAUCUCUGGCUAAAUCACUAACACUGGGGUGCAGGUUUAUGAGCUCAAUGUUUCUCAAUUAAUCACAACCGUUAUUCACAUUCACUAUUCAUAAACUCACCUGGGGCUUACCUGAGUGUCCACAACACCACAAUUAUAUAUAUAUAUAUAUAUAUAUAUAUGCAAACAUCAUAUGCAUAUUCUAAAUGUAAAACAUUUGGCAUGGCAAUUUAAAUCAUAACUCAUUUAAAUGCAUUUUCUGGGAAAAAUACCAAGCAUAUACAAAUAUACUUAAAACCAAAAGCCUACUCACUGGUAUGUCGAAUGGUCGUAGCCCCAGAGCCGCCCUUGACUGCGUUCGUCCUCGAGAUAGGUCUCACCUAUAUGCGAAGUAACUGAAUAAACGUUAUUUAAAGCACAUAGACAAAACUAGUUAAUAACUUCUCAUACAUCACUCAAAUGAGGUAUAUAAAUAUACCAUCGUGACCAACACAAUUCCACGAACACACCCAAAUUUUUAAAAUAAUUUUUUUGAGCCCUUACGCGCCGUCACACGCCAGCAAGGGCAUGGCUCAAGCGCAGCCACGCGCAGGGAAUCCUAACGGAAUCCCUAACUGCUGUUAGGAAUAUUCCAUUAAAAAGAAACAUAAAUCGUUAAAUCUACCUGACGGCGUUAGAAUAUUUCGUCAAGUUUGACGGAAUAUUCUCCGUCUUCUACCUUCGACCGUCGCCAUUGCCGAAAACUAGAAAAAUCCUAAAAUCCUUAUAACUUUGCACUAAAACUCAUGAAAUUUAUACCAAAUUGAAACUUACAACGAGUAGAACACAUUCUUACCAAUUUCAAGCUCCAAAAAUCACGGAAUCUCGCCGGAGAAGGCAUGAUAAUUUCGACCGAAUUUCAAACUCGCCAACUCAACUUCCCAACGUCCAAUUUGUUUGGUUUUUCUUCUCUGAGCUUCGUAAUGUUGGAAAUGUGCCCUAAAACCAAUCAUAUGAUGAUACUUUAUGGACAUUUCACAUGUUAAACUAAUAUAGUUUAAUUUAAAGGGCAAAGAUUAUUGUUUGAAGCCAUCUCAUAUAAAUGUUAUACGCUUAAACGAUAAGUCCAAGGAAUAUGUAAUUGGGAGAAUGCGAUCUAAAGAAGUUAGAUUCAUGAGACCAUUCUCUUUCAUAUACAUAUCCUAAAUGUUCCUGAUCAUAGGAUUGCCAAUUAGGCAUUGACAAUCCAUUAAGAUCAGUACGUUCUAUGUCUUCUCUUAGGGAGAGUGACUGGUCUCAAGUCAUUGGUGUGACUGACACCAAGACAAGUACGUAGGUGCUCAAUAGAGAAUGAGUUCACUAAACGCGAUCAACAAGGAGUUCUCAUACUCAUGUCAUAUGAGAACUCACGGUUGGGAUAAUGCAAAGUAGUCCUUU
rnacentral:lncRNA from 1 species